ACGAAGGACCCAAGCGUUAUCCGGAUUCAUUGGGUUUAAAGGGUGCGUAGGUGGAAAGAUAAGUCAGUGGUGAAAUCUCCGGGCUCAACUCGGAAACUGCCAUUGAUACUGUUUUUCUUGAGUGCAUAUGAUGUGGGCGGAAUAUGACAUGUAGUGGUGAAAUACUUAGAUAUGUCAUAGAACACCGAUUGCGAAGGCAGCUCACAAAACUGCAACUGACACUGAGGCACGAAAGCGUGGGGAUCAAACAGGA
rnacentral:rRNA from 1 species